rnacentral:rRNA from 1 species
CAUAGGUUAAUGAGGCGAACCGGGGGAACUGAAACAUCUAAGUACCCCGAGGAAAAGAAAUCAACCGAGAUUCCCCCAGUAGCGGCGAGCGAACGGGGAGGAGCCCAGAGCCUGAAUCAGUGUGUGUGUUAGUGGAAGCGUCUGGAAAGGCGCGCGAUACAGGGUGACAGCCCCGUACACAAAAAUGCACAUACUGUGAGCUCGAUGAGUAGGGCGGGACACGUGGUAUCCUGUCUGAAUAUGGGGGGACCAUCCUCCAAGGCUAAAUACUCCUGACUGACCGAUAGUGAACCAGUACCGUGAGGGAAAGGCGAAAAGAACCCCGGCGAGGGGAGUGAAAAAGAACCUGAAACCGUGUACGUACAAGCAGUGGGAGCCUCUUAAUGGGGUGACUGCGUACCUUUUGUAUAAUGGGUCAGCGACUUAUAUUCUGUAGCAAGGUUAACCGAAUAGGGGAGCCGAAGGGAAACCGAGUCUUAACUGGGCGUUAAGUUGCAGGGUAUAGACCCGAAACCCGGUGAUCUAGCCAUGGGCAGGUUGAAGGUUGGGUAACACUAACUGGAGGACCGAACCGACUAAUGUUGAAAAAUUAGCGGAUGACUUGUGGCUGGGGGUGAAAGGCCAAUCAAACCGGGAGAUAGCUGGUUCUCCCCGAAAGCUAUUUAGGUAGCGCCUCGUGAAUUCAUCUCCGGGGGUAGAGCACUGUUUCGGCAAGGGGGUCAUCCCGACUUACCAACCCGAUGCAAACUGCGAAUACCGGAGAAUGUUAUCACGGGAGACACACGGCGGGUGCUAACGUCCGUCGUGAAGAGGGAAACAACCCAGACCGCCAGCUAAGGUCCCAAAGUCAUGGUUAAGUGGGAAACGAUGUGGGAAGGCCCAGACAGCCAGGAUGUUGGCUUAGAAGCAGCCAUCAUUUAAAGAAAGCGUAAUAGCUCACUGGUCGAGUCGGCCUGCGCGGAAGAUGUAACGGGGCUAAACCAUGCACCGAAGCUGCGGCAGCGACGCUGAUGCGUUGUUGGGUAGGGGAGCGUUCUGUAAGCCUGUGAAGGUGGCCUGUGAGGGUUGCUGGAGGUAUCAGAAGUGCGAAUGCUGACAUAAGUAACGAUAAAGCGGGUGAAAAGCCCGCUCGCCGGAAGACCAAGGGUUCCUGUCCAACGUUAAUCGGGGCAGGGUGAGUCGACCCCUAAGGCGAGGCCGAAAGGCGUAGUCGAUGGGAAACAGGUUAAUAUUCCUGUACUUGGUGUUACUGCGAAGGGGGGACGGAGAAGGCUAUGUUGGCCGGGCGACGGUUGUCCCGGUUUAAGCGUGUAGGCUGGUUUUCCAGGCAAAUCCGGAAAAUCAAGGCUGAGGCGUGAUGACGAGGCACUACGGUGCUGAAGCGACAAAUGCCCUGCUUCCAGGAAAAGCCUCUAAGCAUCAGGUAACAUCAAAUCGUACCCCAAACCGACACAGGUGGUCAGGUAGAGAAUACCAAGGCGCUUGAGAGAACUCGGGUGAAGGAACUAGGCAAAAUGGUGCCGUAACUUCGGGAGAAGGCACGCUGAUAUGUAGGUGAAGCGACUUGCUCGUGGAGCUGAAAUCAGUCGAAGAUACCAGCUGGCUGCAACUGUUUAUUAAAAACACAGCACUGUGCAAACACGAAAGUGGACGUAUACGGUGUGACGCCUGCCCGGUGCCGGAAGGUUAAUUGAUGGGGUUAGCGGUAACGCGAAGCUCUUGAUCGAAGCCCCGGUAAACGGCGGCCGUAACUAUAACGGUCCUAAGGUAGCGAAAUUCCUUGUCGGGUAAGUUCCGACCUGCACGAAUGGCGUAAUGAUGGCCAGGCUGUCUCCACCCGAGACUCAGUGAAAUUGAACUCGCUGUGAAGAUGCAGUGUACCCGCGGCAAGACGGAAAGACCCCGUGAACCUUUACUAUAGCUUGACACUGAACAUUGAGCCUUGAUGUGUAGGAUAGGUGGGAGGCUUUGAAGUGUGGACGCCAGUCUGCAUGGAGCCGACCUUGAAAUACCACCCUUUAAUGUUUGAUGUUCUAACGUGGGCCCCUUACCGGGGUUGCGGACAGUGUCUGGUGGGUAGUUUGACUGGGGCGGUCUCCUCCUAAAGAGUAACGGAGGAGCACGAAGGUUGGCUAAUCCUGGUCGGACAUCAGGAGGUUAGUGCAAUGGCAUAAGCCAGCUUGACUGCGAGCGUGACGGCGCGAGCAGGUGCGAAAGCAGGUCAUAGUGAUCCGGUGGUUCUGAAUGGAAGGGCCAUCGCUCAACGGAUAAAAGGUACUCCGGGGAUAACAGGCUGAUACCGCCCAAGAGUUCAUAUCGACGGCGGUGUUUGGCACCUCGAUGUCGGCUCAUCACAUCCUGGGGCUGAAGUAGGUCCCAAGGGUAUGGCUGUUCGCCAUUUAAAGUGGUACGCGAGCUGGGUUUAGAACGUCGUGAGACAGUUCGGUCCCUAUCUGCCGUGGGCGCUGGAGAACUGAGGGGGGCUGCUCCUAGUACGAGAGGACCGGAGUGGACGCAUCACUGGUGUUCGGGUUGUCAUGCCAAUGGCACUGCCCGGUAGCUAAAUGCGGAAGAGAUAAGUGCUGAAAGCAUCUAAGCACGAAACUUGCCCCGAGAUGAGUUCUCCCUGAGACUUAGAGUCUCCUGAAGGAACGUUGAAGACGACGACGUUGAUAGGCCGGGUGUGUAAGCGCAGCGAUGCGUUGAGCUAACCGGUACUAAUGAACCGUGAGGCUUAACCUUACAACGCCGAAG